CAUCCAGCCACCAUCCACAUUUGGAUCUAACGAUCAAAGAGAAACAUCCGACAAGGAGGUCUGCUUUGACCAUGAUGACGGAUGAGGAAAUCAACCCUGCACUUUGUGUGCUUUGGGCCUUGUGUUUCAAGAAUCCCAAGUCAGUCGGUGAAGACCAGAGGUUGCACACCACAAGCCCAGCGCUGCCAUGCUGAAGGACUGACGGGUCCAACACAGUCUCAUUACUGCCCUGAGAGUGGACCUUGGAGGAAAGGACCACCAAAGGACCCCCAAGGGGCCACAACUGGCUCCUACGGCCCAGAGUUUUAGACCGCAACACCCAUUCUUGUCCAUCCAUACACGGGGAGAUCCAAAC
ensembl:lncRNA